rnacentral:rRNA from 1 species
UACGGGGGGGGCAAGCGUUGUUCGGAAUUACUGGGCGUAAAGGGCUCGUAGGUGGCCAACUAAGUCAGACGUGAAAUCCCCAGGCUCAACUUGGGAACUGCGUCUGAUACUGGAUGGCUUGAAUUCGGGAGAGGGAUGCAGAAUUCCAGGUGUAGCGGUGAAAUGCGUAGAUAUCUGGAGGAAUACCAGUGGCGAAGGCGGGUCUCUGGACAGUUCCUGACGCUGAGGCACGAAGGCCAGGGGAGCAAACGGG